rnacentral:rRNA from 1 species
GACGAACGCUGGCGGCGUGCUUAACACAUGCAAGUCGAGCGGUAAGGCCCUUUCGGGGGUACACGAGCGGCGAACGGGUGAGUAACACGUGGGUGACCUGCCCUCAGCUCUGGGAUAAGCCUGGGAAACCGGGUCUAAUACUGGAUAUGACUCCAUGACGCAUGUUGUGGGGUGGAAAGCCUUGUGCGGCUGAGGAUGGGCCCGCGGCCUAUCAGCUUGUUGGUGGGGUGAUGGCCUACCAAGGCGACGACGGUAGCCGGCCUGAGAGGGCGACCGGCCACACUGGGACUGAGACACGGCCCAGACUCCUACGGGAGGCAGCAGUGGGGAAUCUUGCGCAAUGGGCGAAAGCCUGACGCAGCGACGCCGCGUGAGGGAUGACGGCC